ACGACGGCCGAAUUCAUAGCUGUUAUCGCGUGAUCGUCCUUGACUCGCGACUUUGAUCCUGGUUCAAGGAUGAACGCUAGCGACAGGCUUAACACAUGCAAGUCGAGGGGCAGCGAGGGAGUGGCAACACUUCUGUCGGCGACCGGCGCACGGGUGAGUAACGCGUAUGCAACCUGCCCUUCACAGGGGGAUAACCGGGAGAAAUUCCGACUAAUACCGCAUACGUCCCCUGGGGGCAUCCCCUGGGGAUGAAAGAAUUAUCGGUGAAGGAUGGGCAUGCGUGAUAUUAGGUAGUUGGCGGGGCAACGGCCCACCAAGCCCACGAUAUCUAGGGGUUCCGAGAGGAAGGUCCCCCACAUUGGUACUGAGACACGGACCAAACUCCUACGGGAGGCAGCAGUGAGGAAUAUUGGUCAAUGGACGAGAGUCUGAACCAGCCAAGUCGCGUGAAGGAAGACGGAUCUAUGGUUUGUAAACUUCUUUAGUGCGGGAACAAAGCGGCGUCGUGACGCCGGAUGAGUGUACCGCAAGAAUAAGCAUCGGCUAACUCCGUGCCAGCAGCCGCGGUAAUACGGAGGAUGCGAGCGUUAUCCGGAUUUAUUGGGUUUAAAGGGAGCGCAGGCUGCGAGGCAAGUCAGCGGUCAAAUGUCGGGGCUCAACCCCGGCCUGCCGUUGAAACUGUCUUGCUAGAGUUCGAGUGAGGUAUGCGGAAUGCGUUGUGUAGCGGUGAAAUGCAUAGAUAUGACGCAGCACUCCGAUUGCGAAAGGCAGCAUACCAACUCGCGACUGACGCUGAGGCUCGAAAGCGUGGGUAUCGAACAGGAUUAGAUACCCUGGUAGUCCACGCAGUAAACGAUGAAUACUAACUGUUCGGAGGGGCGACCUCUGAGUGGUAAAGC
rnacentral:rRNA from 1 species